rnacentral:rRNA from 1 species
UACGUAGGGUGCAAGCGUUACUCGGAAUUACUGGGCGUAAAGCGUGCGUAGGCGGUUCGUUAAGUUCGUUGUGAAAGCCCCGGGCUCAACCUGGGAAUGGCAAUGGAAACUGGCGGGCUGGAGUAUGGCAGAGGGGGGUGGAAUUCCGCGUGUAGCAGUGAAAUGCGUAGAGAUGCGGAGGAACACCGAUGGCGAAGGCAGCCCCCUGGGCCAAUACUGACGCUCAGGCACGAAAGCGUGGGGAGCAAACAGG